GAUGAAGAACGUAGCGAAAUGCGAUAAGUAAUGUGAAUUGCAGAAUUCAGUGAAUCAUCGAAUCUUUGAACGCACAUUGCGCCCUUUGGUAUUCCAGAGGGCAUGCCCGUUCGAGCGUCAUUACACCACUCAAGCCUGGCUUGGUAUUGGGCGACGGGGUGUUUGUCCCCGCGCCCCCAUUUCGUCGGCUGGACGGUUGGAAUCUCAGCGUUGUGAAUCAAUUCGCUUUGAUGAAGGCCGGCCGCGCCGUUAAACCACCAUUUCAUUUAGGUUGACCUCGGAUCGGGUAGGGAUACCCGCUGAACUUAAGCAUAUCAAUAAGCGGAGGA
rnacentral:misc_RNA from 1 species